UACGUAGGGGGCUAGCGUUGUCCGGAAUCAUUGGGCGUAAAGCGCGUGUAGGCGGUCCGGUAAGUCCGCUGUGAAAGCCAGGGGCUCAACCCUUGGAUGCCGGUGGAUACUGCCGGACUAGAGUUCGGAAGAGGCGAGUGGAAUUCCCGGUGUAGCGGUGAAAUGCGCAGAUAUCAGGAGGAACACCGGUGGCGAAGGCGGGUCUCUGGGCCGAUACUGACGCUGAGGAGCGAAAGCGUGGGGAGCGAACAGG
rnacentral:rRNA from 1 species